UACGUAGGGUGCGAGCGUUUGUCCGGAAUUAUUGGGCGUAAAGAGCUCGUAGGCGGUCUGUCGCGUCUGCUGUGAAAACCCGAGGCUCAACCUCGGGCCUGCAGUGGGUACGGGCAGACUAGAGUGCGGUAGGGGAGAAUGGAAUUCCUGGUGUAGCGGUGGAAUGCGCAGAUAUCAGGAGGAACACCGAUGGCGAAGGCAGUUCUCUGGGCCGUAACUGACGCUGAGACGCGAAAGCGUGGGGAGCAAACAGG
rnacentral:rRNA from 1 species